GUGGUUUGCAAAGAGAGUUCCAGGGCAGCCAGGGCUACACAGAAAAACCCUGCCUCGAAAAACCAAACACCGAACCAAUCAAACAAAAACUACUGCACAGAAGAGAACAUUCUGAGAUUGAAGAGUUCUGCAAAGAGCCUCCUCUCCAAGGGCGUGCAUCUGAAACCCAGCCCAUUACUGAAUUAUAACGAGUGGAAAAGAAAUACUAAGAAGACAGUGGGUAACUCUAGCACCAGAGGACGCUCAGCAAAAGGCUGAGCAAGUGUCACUGUGGCCUGUGCUUUCCUGGCAUCUUGUUUUGAGGAUACAG
rnacentral:lncRNA from 1 species